ACCCUGGUAGUCCAUGCUGUCAAUUAUGAAUGCUGACAUUGGGAAUUUUCUGAUGUUAAGUUAACACGUUAAGCAUUCCGCCUGGGGAGUACGAUCGCAAGAUUGGAACUCAAAGGAAUUGACGGGAGUCUAUACGAGUGGUGGAGCAUGUGGUUUAAUGCGAUAAUACGCGCGAAAUCUUACCAGUUCUUGCAUAUAAUUUUAAAUUCUAUUUAUAGUAGAUAUCUGUUCAAAACCUACAAUUGGGUUUAUAACAAAAUUAUACAGGUGCUGCAUGGCUGUCGUCAGCUCGUGUCGUGAGAUGUUGGGUUAAGUCCCGUAACGAGCGCAACCCUUGUCCUUAGUUACCAGCACGUUAUGGUGGGCACUCUAAGGAGACUGCCGGUGACAAACCGGAGGAAGGUGGGGAUGACGUCAAGUCCUCAUGGCCCUUAUAGGUGGGGCUACACACGUCAUACAAUGGCUGGUACAGAGGGUUGCCAACCCGCGAGGGGGAGCUAAUCCCAUAAAACCAGUCGUAGUCCGGAUCGCAGUCUGCAACUCGACUGCGUGAAGUCGGAAUCGCUAGUAAUCGCGGAUCAGAAUGUCGCGGUGAAUACGUUCCCGGGCCUUGUACACACCGCCCGUCACACCAUGGGAGUGGGUUGCACCAGAAGUAGCUAGUCUAACCUUCGGGGGGACGGUUACCACGGUGUGAUUCAUGACUGGGGUGAAGUCGUAACAAGGUAGCCGUAGGGGAACCUGCGGCUG
rnacentral:rRNA from 1 species